rnacentral:rRNA from 1 species
UACGUAGGUGGCAAGCGUUAUCCGGAUUUAUUGGGCGUAAAGGGAACGCAGGCGGUCUUUUAAGUCUGAUGUGAAAGCCUUCGGCUUAACCGGAGCAGUGCAUUGAAAACUGGGAGACUUGAGUGCAGAAGAGGAGAGUGGAACUCCAUGUGUAGCGGUGAAAUGCGUAGAUAUAUGGAAGAACACCAGUGGCGAAAGCGGCUCUCUGGUCUGUAACUGACGCUGAGGUUCGAAAGCGUGGGUAGCAAACAGG